ACCGCCAUGGAUGGUGGUGGUUCUAAACAGUAUCAUGUUUUGUCAUCAGCAAAACAUGAUAUCAAAUCUGUACAAGGACGUACAGAUUUGAUAUGGC
rfam:Treponema sp. OMZ 838, complete genome.